AGAUGCACUUGGAUUUAUCAUUUUAUUGAUAAUAAAAUUUAUAUUUUUAUUUCUCAUUAAGAUUGUUGGUCCUUAAAAAAAAAGAAGUUAAGCAUAUGACUUUAGUUACAUCCUUCAUCUUGGUAUUCGUAACAAAUUUUCUAUAUUUGAUACAAAUUUAAAUCCAAAUUUGGGUUUCAAAAUUCAAAUUCAAAAUUCAAAUUUAAAUUGCUGUGAAGCUAAAAUAGUGCUUUGAUAAUUUGAUUUCCUCUUUAUAUAUAAUAUGUUUUGUUUUCAGCGUUAAAUUCUUUCAAGGUACUAAUCCAGUAAAUAAGCUUGUUGCAGGUUUCUUGUUUGGGGAGCCUGAGCUCAGGCGGGGUUCUUCCCCCGUGGGCAGGUGGCCCGAGACGUUUGGGGAGAAGCUAGACGAGAGGUAUGGGAGCGGUAGCGCUCCGACCUACUCGCCGAAGACCAGGCCGUAUCCACCGGACCGUUAGAUCGGUCCUGCCAAAUUGGGAGGCUUGGAGGGAUCGCGGAGGGCUUCCACUGUCCUUCCAGAUGACACAGGUGCUCGCAGGACAUGUAGUAUUCGGGAAAUACUUGCAGAAAAUCGGAAGAGAGAUGACGAGCAUGUCACGACUGGCACAGUUCAAAACCGGCGAUAAAGAUGUGGCGGCACUCGGCAACAAUAUAUAUCGCCGAAACGAAGUGCCUAAUGAACCAUCAAUAUCCCAACAGUGCUUCCGCCGAAUGUUCGAGAAGAAGGCGUGCGUGGCAAUAGUUGCGGACGCCUAAUAAACUCGAGGACAGUCGAUCGAAAGUCGACUUGUGACAAGCACAUGUCACCACUGCGGAGAGGACGAGGAUACUGCCCAGCAUAUGUUGGAAUUUUGUCCGGUGUGGGAGGCCCCACGUCGUAUUCUAUAACUAGCGAUUGGAGAGAGAUUAGGCCCUUCGUCAGUUGUGAAAGCGUAAAGGAGCGAACAGAGCGGAAGAGGGUGAAAACAUUCCAUCCUUGCAGGGUUCUGUGUCGAAGAGCGGCCCUGCGUCACUCUAGGUGGUCAUAGGGGCCGACACGAAUCUCCUGAGAUUUGCACGACGGCCCAGGGAAUAGCGUUGAGAGGGGUGGUCCCUCCCAAUACCCGAACUAACCAAGGAACGACUCCCUCAGAUGGGAGAAUACGCAGGAGUGCCGGGGCACAUCCCUGUUGAGCGUUAGGCGGUCCACCGUGGGGUUUUAGUCGGUAAAGUUUGACACUAUCGUCUCACCUCCUGGAAUUAUUUCUCUCAUAGAUCUUUUACUAAAUUUUGGAGAGUUUGAGUUUGUUUGAAAAUCCAUCGCCAGGUCACCAGAAGAAGACACGUAUCCCAUAUUAUGUUCCAUUUUUUCCACUUUAUCAUGUGUAGAUCGUUAGAUAGGUAGAGUCCACAAACAAAUUUUUAGAUUUUUAGACAGGUAGGAUCCAUCGACAAACCUUCAGCUUGCGAGGCAGAUAGAAUAAUAAAUCUUCAAAUUUGUAUCUAGGUAGUAUUCUAUAAAUAAACAUUCAGAUGUCUGAUGCUCAGAGUUUACAAAGAAAUUGUUCAAGUUGGUUGUAGAUAAAAGUCUAUAAAAAGAAAUUUUUAGACUUCUAGUAAGUAGAACAUGCACAGAAAUCGUGUAAUUUUUAUGUAAGUAGAGACGACAAAAAAUCUAAAGUUUUGGUGAAACUAAUUUCAAUUUAAGUUUAUUUCUGGAACCUCUACAGGAUCAAUGGAAAGAAGAUAUUCUCGCAUAGUACAAUCAACAUAUUCAACAUAUUAAGGAUCAACGUAUUCAGUUGUGGAAGAUAUAUUCACUCCCUACUUAGACGCAAUAUUUCCUCUCCAAUUUGAUUUACUAUGUUGAGAUAUUUAUGUAGAUAGGAUCCAUGAAAAUCUUUGAAUGUUUGAGAGAUUGGUUAAAUUGGAUUUGUAGUCAGGUAGGAAGUUAAAAUUUAAUUUUUACUGUUAGGUAAGGCAUUUGUGAAUUAAUUUUAUGAAUGAGAUCUGUGGCUAGGUUGGUCAUUCUCAAAUUAAAAUCCCAACUCAGAAUUAGGUAGAUACUUAAUAGAAAACCUAAUAAUGUUAGGAAGCACUGUGUCUCUGUAUGUGUGUGAUAGAUAGGUCGUUUUGAAAUUAAAGAUGGUAAUAGAAGUGUAAAAUUACUGAUAAAAAUAAGAAAAAGAGUCUCAUAUACCAUUAUGCGAUUAGUUUAUGAUUUAAUGUAAUUUUUAUUUUCACGAUUAUCUUAAGAUCUAAUUCAAUUUUUAGUUUUAGAUGGGUCUCCAUUCGCAGCAACCUCCACGCAGUGAGACCCGGAUAAUCAUAUUAAUAUUUAAUAUACAAUUUCUAAUUGCAUCAAUACGUAAUUAGUAGCCAUGAUAAAUUAUGAAUUGUAUAGUAAAUGAUAAUAUGAGCUGAUUGACUGCAAUCGCGAUUAGUUUUAUAUAAUUAUGUAGUCAAAAUUUAUUUAUUAUUACCUUUUAAAGGAUAGUUAGUAAUUGCCACGAUUUACAUUCCACAUUUGUUCAUAAGUUAAUUAACUUUCACUCUUUCCACUGUUCUCAAUUACCACGCGUCUAACCGAAUUCGUCUUACGAGUGCAGCGUUCAAUCCAUGGCUCGUUGCAAAUUAAGCGAAAAUACGAUAAAUCUAACGAAGUGUUUUAGCUAAGUUAACAUUAAUUCAAUCGACCGAACCGGUAGAAUUUCAGGGAGGGAUUAGAGUGAUAUAAUAGGUCAUUGAGGUGAUUAUAGGAAUUGUAUGACGAGCUCUUAAAUAAUUCUGCAAAUUGACGAUAUCCCGAUAAUACAGUUCUUCAAAUUCAUAAUUCUGAAAAUAUAGUAUAUAGGUCAUGGAAUGAUUACAAUAAGGAUGAGAAUAUACUUAUUAUCAUUUUCAUGUAUUCGGAUAUUCAAUAUUGAUCAGUAUAUAAAAAAAAUGCCCAAAAUAUUCAAAGUGAAGUAUUCGUUACAAAAUUGAGAUGGCGAAGCAAAUAUUUAUUUAGAUAUUAUUUCUUUAAUUAUAUUCAUAAAAAUCUUCAACCUAUCGAUUUUCCUAACUUUCGUUCGGUUUGUUAACAGAAAGCUAAGAAUUCGUGAGAUGUCAAAUAGAAUUUUCAAUCUACCGAUUACGUGGACGCUUCUAGAAAUUCAUUUGCAUUGCCAUUAGUUACAAAUAAAACUACAGUAUCUGAGGAUGAUGGCUUUUGGUAUCGAAGUAAAUGGGUGGAGUGCUUGUUAAAUAAUAUUUCACUGAUGAUCUAUCGAAGCUCGAAAUUAAUAAAUUAUCCGUCUCUAAGGUUCUAUAUUGAAUCUUGAUCCUUUAUUGAACCAUAUUUGAAAUGACUUGAAUUUCUAAAGUAUCGUUGAUCCCUCAAUUGUUUCGAAAUUAUCAUUCAGACGUUUAUUACUAUCUACGAUGCCAUCGUAAUCGCGUUUCGAUUCCUAUUCGGCAAGUAAUACUCGGAUAGCAUUGAAUUUACCACAUCGGCCAUUUUUACGCUCGCUUAAGGGGGGGCUAAAGAGAUUUUAACUGUAUCGUCACAAAUAAUUCACAAAAACAUGCCUUAUUUUUGUAGGAAUUAACCUUAGCCGACGCCCCCCCCCCCCCUCCGCCUUAAACUUUAUGAUCUCCCGACGUCCUUGCAUUCUCAAUUAUACUCGACGCUAAUCCUCGCAUAUGUUUGACGAACCGGUGCUGUCGAAUUAGAAAGUUCGUUGUCUAGUUGUGACUUUUCGACUUUUGUUUUCCUUCGUCCAGUUAUGCGGAAAAAUGACGAGGCGAUGGAAAACGUCCACAUAGGGCGUGAAAUUCAAAAUACUGAUGAGAGAAAAGUUGCGUUUGUUUAUGCAGAUGUUGAUGCGCAUGCGGUUAAGAUUUACUGAGAGUAUUCGCGAUGCAGUGAUUCGUUGAUUGGGGUCAAAUCUUGUGAACGAAUGGCUUUAUUGAGUAGUAAAGUUAUGCCUCAUAAAUUUUGCAAUUUGUUCGAAAUAAUAAAAAUGAAAUAACUCUGAUGAAUUAUGUAUUGCUGGAAAUGUAACAUUGAAAAUUUUCAAUUAUUAAAAUGUACACGUUCUUA